rnacentral:rRNA from 1 species
UACGUAGGGUGCAAGCGUUGUCCGGAAUUAUUGGGCGUAAAGAGCUCGUAGGCGGUUCGUCGCGUCGGCUGUGAAAACCCGGGGCUCAACUCCGGGCUUGCAUUCGAUACGGGCAGGCUAGAGUUCGGUAGGGGAGACUGGAAUUCCUGGUGUAGCGGUGAAAUGCGCAGAUAUCAGGAGGAACACCGGUGGCGAAGGCGGGUCUCUGGUCCGAUACUGACGCUGAGGUGCGAAAGCGUGGGGAGCAAACAGG